GAAUUCACAGUUUCCCAAUUACCAUGACAAAGCAGUGAUAUCAAAGCCUCAGAUUUACUCUUUCAUUAAGAAGCAAGAAAGAGUGGGGUUCCGAGCAGAGCUACUUUAACUCUCCUGUCAUCUCUUCCUUAGACUUGGAGGUCAAAUGUAGAGAUUUUGGAUGUUUGAUUGGACCAACAUACCAUUCAUCUAUGUAACACAAUUUCCUAAAGGCCUACUGACAUUAACCAUCCUAGAUUCCAGAUGAAUGCAUUUCUCUUCUCUUCUCUACAGUUUUGCCUAAGAGACAUUGGAAGACAAAUGUUUCUGUCACAGCCAGUAGUGGGACUGUCUCAACUCGUUUUCCUGUGAUGCCUGUCCUUGGAUGCUCUACUUUGUGAAAUUGUGGCCCGAGAAGGGUUGCUAUGAACCAACCAAGUCCCCCUGGAAUGAGUAGGAUCCAUGAUAUGAGGACACCUAAAUUUAGGCAUCUGGAUGUCUCAGUGACUUAGGUUCCAUCAUAGUAAGUCAGGAUUUUGUCAGUGUCACCUGCAGAUCCCAAAGAGCCGUUCAGCUGCCAUCCAGGAGAAUGUGCCAUGUACAGUGAAACAGGAGCCUACAGUGGCUGAGACAUUUGGAACUGAGGAAACUAAACAGUCUUGGAGAAGGUACUUCCUUCUCUCCACUUCAAUUAUGGUCACACUGUCAUAGGAGUCCCAUCUCCCUGUGUCUUUUCUUCACACCAUUGUGAUGGAAGAAUGGAUUAGGGAAUCUUACGCUUCCCUUAAAAGAAAAAUUCUAGCAUUUUUAACACCUAAAAUAAAAUAGAAGCCAAACAAAACUCUCCAACCAAAGUUAUGGUUGGAUAAGCUUUUCAAAUAAAUCCCAGAAUGGAACUCUAUUACAAACUCAAGGAGAGCACAUUGACUCUCAGUCUGUCCUGACAAAACACAUUGUGCAAAUGAGUUUACCAUAAAGAUAUAUUGGAACCAGUCUGGAAGCCAACACACCAGUUAAGUUGUUGAUGGCAUAGAGUCUCUCCAUCAAGGUCACUAUCUCAAAAAAUGUAUUUCAGAAAGAAAUCCUGCUACUUUGUAGAAAGUGAGUUGUUCUAAAAUAACAGUGGGCUCUUUCCUAUUAAAGAGCCUCCACUGUCCAGAAUGACUUCUCAAGUAAAGAAAAGUGGGUGCAAGCUCAAAGUAGAGAUUUAGAACUUUGCAGAGGAGUCAAACGCUGAUCUAUGCUCUAGAAGCACGCAACUUUAUUGGCAUCUUGAAAGCAUAUUGAUUUAAUUAGUGCUUAGCUAUUUUCUUUGGAUCUCUCACUAUCAUAUUGGAUAUGUCUCACAAACUGAUAACAAAUACCACGCAUGUAGCUCUAGCCCCUGCAAGCAGCAGCCAAUGCACUUUUAAAUGAAGACUUUGUUUUUUUCAAACAGAUAAACACAUAAGAGCAAAUAUCAUCAGUUGUCCUCGGGGGAGGAAAUUUUUGGUUACUGCAACUUUAGUUCCAAACCAGUUAGGAGAUUUUGGUGCAGAAAGAUACAAUAAUUAAAUUGCUUAAGGCUUUUAGGUUUCUGAUGGGGUUGCAAAGCUGUGCAGUUGUUUUUGUGAUUUUUUUUUUUUUUUUUGCCACUGUGGCUUCUUCAUUCAAGACCAAUUGGCCACAUGUGUUGAUAGUUACCACUAAGGCUGAAUAAUUUCUGUCUUUCAUGAGGGUAUCAAGAGCCUCUGUCAGAUAAAAUGGAAGAGUAAACGACACUGAAGUAUUACACUGAAAGAUUACUUGUUAACCUUGCUAUGGCUAAUAAAAUUCUAAUUUGCAAGCCUUGAUUCACUACAAUUGAUGUGCAUGUGAGUAACAUGGAAUUACUCUGGUUAAAGCUGUUAAAAUAUGAGACCUACAUGAAAAAUAUAUUAUGACAGAAAGAAUUAUCACUUUUUUCCCCCUUGAACUGAGGUUAAUCUAUACUUUCUGUCCACUAGGUAUGCUUGGAUUUACAAUCCUAUUCUCUUAAAACCCAGUUAAUUGCAUUAAGUGCAGUUGGAAUGUGUUCAGCAAUGAUAUUGGCCUUCUGAUUAUUGAGCAUAUAUGGAAACAUGAGGAUUCAAGAAUUUAAAUGCAUUAUUUAUCUAUCAGUGAUACUAUAAACUUCUUGAGUUUAUACUAUAGGAAAGAAACAAAACACCUCCUAGAUCAAGUCCCAGUGUGGUGCCUUGAACUUCUUGAUGCUUUUAAUAUUCAUUAAAACAUGUAAAAUGCAUUUUCAAAAAAAUAA